GUGUGUUGUUGGGUAGGGGAGCGUUCUGUAAGCCUGUGAAGGUGGCCUGUGAGGGUUGCUGGAGGUAUCAGAAGUGCGAAUGCUGACAUAAGUAACGAUAAAGCGGGUGAAAAGCCCGCUCGCCGGAAGACCAAGGGUUCCUGUCCAACGUUAAUCGGGGCAGGGUGAGUCGACCCCUAAGGCGAGGCCGAAAGGCGUAGUCGAUGGGAAACGGGUUAAUAUUCCCGUACUUGGUGUUACUGCGAAGGGGGGACGGAGAAGGCUAUGUUGGCCGGGCGACGGUUGUCCCGGUUUAAGCGUGUAGGUGUGUGUUCCAGGUAAAUCCGGUUCACUUUAACACUGAGGCGUGACGACGAGGCACUACGGUGCUGAAGC
rnacentral:rRNA from 1 species